rnacentral:rRNA from 1 species
AACGAACGCUGGCGGCAGGCUUAACACAUGCAAGUCGAGCGCCCCGCAAGGGAGCGGCAGACGGGUGAGUAACGCGUGGGAAUCUACCGAGCCCAAAGGAAUAGCUCCGGGAAACUGGAAUUAAUACCUUAUACGCCCUUCGGGGGAAAGAUUUAUCGGGGUUUGAUGAGCCCGCGUUGGAUUAGCUAGUUGGUGGGGUAAAGGCCUACCAAGGCGACGAUCCGUAGCUGGUCUGAGAGGAUGAUCAGCCACAUUGGGACUGAGACACGGCCCAAACUCCUACGGGAGGCAGCAGUGGGGAAUAUUGGACAAUGGGCGCAAGCCUGAUCCAGCCAUGCCGCGUGAGUGAUGAAGGCCCUAGGGUUGUAAAGCUCUUUCACCGGUGAAGAUAAUGACGGUAACCGGAGAAGAAGCCCCGGCUAACUUCGUGCCAGCAGCCGCCGUAACAC